CCUACGGGAGGCAGCAGUGGGGAAUAUUGGACAAUGGGGGAAACCCUGAUCCAGCGACGCCGCGUGAGUGAAGAAGUAUUUCGGUGCGUAAAGCUCUAUCAGCAGGAAAGAAAAUGACGGUACCUGACUAUGAAGCCCCGGCUAACUACGUGCCAGCAGCCGCGGUAAUACGUAGGGGGCAAGCGUUAUCCGGAUUUACUGGGGGUAAAGGGGGCGUAGACGGCAGCGCAAGUCUGGAGUGAAAUGCCGGGGCCAAACCCCGGAACUGCUCUGGAAACUGUGUAGCUGGAGUGCAGGAGAGGUAAGCGGAAUUCCUGGUGUAGCGGUGAAAUGCGUAGAUAUCAGGAGGAACACCGGCGGCGAAGGCGGCUUACUGGACUGUAACUGACGUUGAGGCUCGAAGGCGUGGGGAGCAAACAGGAUUAGAUACCCCUGUAGUC
rnacentral:rRNA from 1 species